CUUUUCUUUCUCUUUUUGCACUUGCCCCCAUUCAGCCGGACGCCGCAGCCUAUCAUCGACUCCAAAAUGACAACAAGCUUCGGAGUGGACCACAACACAUGAGAGACAUCACAACAGCAGAUACUUCACCACAGAGGCGUUUCCUCUUCAAAGUGGAUGUCAGCAGAAGGAGAGGAAAAUCACUUAAUGCAAUGCAGCCACUUCAACGUCUCCUCAAAGUCCUUCGGAAGGCUUGUUUGUUUUCCUGCUCUGAGCUGAGCCAAAAAG